AAGACUAUACUUUCAGGGAUCAUUUCUAUAGUUCUUGACUAGGAAAUGUGUUUCGAAAGAGUUGUGUCUCCCAAACCACGAUGAUGAGUGAUAAUGUUCUCCUCUGAGCGUGACUCGGGUAGCGAGCUGUGGUUUAUUCACGGAUAACUAUCAUUGAUGAACGUUCACUGGCUCUUAAUGAGUCUGUGAGGAGGAGUGCAUGGUCAGAGUGGAU
ensembl:snoRNA